AAACGCGAUCGACGACGAGACCGAUGACCAUGUUGUGGACCUCUGCGACCACGAUCGCGCUGCGUUCGUUGGUGACGGUCGAUUUCAUGCCGAGCUUGUGGGCGAGGUCGAUGAUCGGGAUCACC
rnacentral:sRNA from 1 species